UACGAAGGGGGCUAGCGUUGCUCGGAAUCACUGGGCGUAAAGCGCACGUAGGCGGAUUGUUAAGUCAGGGGUGAAAUCCUGGAGCUCAACUCCAGAACUGCCUUUGAUACUGGCGAUCUCGAGUCCGGGAGAGGUGAGUGGAACUGCGAGUGUAGAGGUGAAAUUCGUAGAUAUUCGCAAGAACACCAGUGGCGAAGGCGGCUCACUGGCCCGGUACUGACGCUGAGGCGCGAAAGCCAGGGGAGCGAACGGG
rnacentral:rRNA from 1 species